UAGAAUAUAGUGUAAUUAGGUAGCACGAAGAUUUUUGAAUUCUUAAGAGUAGGUUCGAGUCCUAUAAUUCUAG
rnacentral:tRNA from 1 species